rnacentral:rRNA from 1 species
AUUGAACGCUGGCGGCAGGCCUAACACAUGCAAGUCGAGCGGAUGACGGGAGCUUGCUCCUUGAUUCAGCGGCGGACGGGUGAGUAAUGCCUAGGAAUCUGCCUGGUAGUGGGGGACAACGAUUCGAAAGGAACGCUAAUACCGCAUACGUCCUACGGGAGAAAGCAGGGGACCUUCGGGCCAUGCGCUAAUAUAUGAGCCUAGGUGGGAUUAGCUAGUUGGUGAGGUAAUGGCUCACCAAGGCGCCGAUCCGUAACUGGUCUGAGAGGGUGAUCAGUCACACUGGAACUGAGACACGGUCCAGACUCCUACGGGAGGCGGCAGUGGGGAAUAUUGGACAAUGGGCGAAAGCCUGAUCCAGCCAUGCCGCGUGUGUGAAGAAGGUCUUCGGAUUGUAAAGCACUUUAAGUUGGGAGGAAGGGCAGUAAGUUAAUACCUUGCUGUUUUGACGUUACCGACAGAAUAAGCACCGGCUAACUCUGUGCCAGCAGCCGCGGUAAGAC